rnacentral:rRNA from 1 species
UCGCCUGCAUGAAGCUGGAAUUGCUAGUAAUCGCGGAUCAGCAAGCCGCGGUGAAUACGUUCCCGGGGCCUUGUACACACCGCCCGUCACACCAUGAGAGUCGGGAACACCCGAAGUCCGUAGUCUAACCGCAAGGGGGCGCGGCCGAAGGUGGGUCCGGUAAUUGGGGUGAAGUCGUAACAAGGUACC